UUUCCGGUCCGGUGGGUACAAGAUGACGGAGCCGGGCGCCUCUCCCGAGGACCCUUGGGUCAAGGUGGAGUAUGCCUACAGCGACAACAGCCUGGACCCCGAUGACGAGGACAGUGAUUACCACCAGGAGGCCUACAAGGAGUCCUACAAAGACCGGCGGCGGCGCGCACACACUCAGGCUGAGCAGAAGAGGAGGGACGCCAUCAAGCCAUUGACUACAUUCAGUUUUUGCACAAGGAGAAGAAAAAGCAGGAGGAGGAGGUGUCCACGUUACGCAAGGAUGUCACCGCCCUAAAGAUCAUGAAAGUGUAAGAGGGGUGCUGAAUGGGGGGAACCAGAACUUCUGAGGCAACUUCAUUGCACACCCUCCCUUGUUCAAAGGCCACAUCAGUUACUGCUGUACAGAUAAUACUCUUAGUUCCUGAGCUAGCCAGUAGGACUGUGUAUCCCCAACUGUCCUUACACAUGGCAGACACUCAGGAAAUGCCUGUUGGAUUAAUGUAAGGAAGGUUGGAGAGAGAGGGCCACCUUUCCUGGCCUGGAAGCAGUAUCUCCCUGAUACUGAACCCCACCCAGAAGCUCUCUGGGGCUGCCAUUCCUGGGAGUACACAGGAUAGUCCUGUCAUUCUUCUUGGGUGGGCGGAGCUGCUGCAGCACCUCAGCCCUGGCCUGCAUGCUUUUAGGAACUAUGAGCAGAUUGUGAAGGCACACCAGGACAACCCCCAUGAAGGGGAGGACCAGGUCUCUGACCAGGUCAAGUUCAACGUGUUUCAAGGCAUCAUGGAUUCCCUGUUCCAGUCCUUCAAUGCCUCCAUCUCAGUGGCCAGCUUCCAGGAGCUGUCAGCGUGUGUCUUCAGCUGGAUCGAGGAGCACUGUAAGCCUCAGACCCUGCGGGAGAUUGUGAUUGGCGUCCUACACCAAUUGAAAAACCAGCUUUACUGACCGGUUCUUGGAAACCUGCAGAACAGCCAACAAGAGGCCCUUGAAUCUCUACUUGGCCACUGAACUGCUGGGCCCGGGAGACUGGACUACAACACCUCACACUGGUCAGCUGGUUUCUACUUGGUG
rnacentral:sRNA from 1 species